rnacentral:rRNA from 1 species
ACCACAAGAGGUGGAGGCGUGCGGUUCAAUUGGACUCAAACGCCGGAAAACUCACCGGGAGCGACAGCAGUAUGAUUGCCAGGUUGAUGACCUUGCUUGACAAGCUGAGAGGAGGUGCAUGGCCGUCGUCAGUUCGUACUGUGAAGCAUCCUGUUAAGUCAGGCAACGAGCGAGACCCACGCCAACAGUUGCCAGCUCGUCCUCCGGGAUGGUGGGGACACUGUUGGGACCGCCUCUGCUAAAGAGGAGGAAGGAAUGGGCAACGGUAGGUCAGCAUGCCCCGAAUUAUCUGGGCUACACGCGGGCUACAAUGGGUGGGACAAUGGGUAUCGACACCGAAAGGUGAAGGCAAUCUCCUAAACCCAUCCGUAGUUCGGAUUGUGGGCUGCAACUCGCCCACAUGAAGCUGGAAUCUGUAGUAAUCGUGUCUCAAAAUGGCACGGUGAAUAUGUCCCUGCUCCUU